rnacentral:rRNA from 1 species
AAGCGUUAUCCGGAUUCAUUGGGUUUAAAGGGUGCGUAGGCGGGAAAGUAAGUCAGUGGUGAAAGCCUGCAGCUCAACUGUGGAACAGCCAUUGAUACUGCUUUUCUUGAGUUUGGUUGAGGUAGGCGGAAUGUGUAAUGUAGCGGUGAAAUGCUUAGAUAUUACACAGAACACCGAUUGCGAAGGCAGCUUACUAAACCGAUACUGACGCUGAUGCACGAAAGCGUGGGGAGCGAACAGGAUUAGAUACCCUGGUAGUCCACGCUGUAAACUAUGAUCACUCGCUGUUGGCAAUACAUCGUCAGCGGCUGAGCGAAAGCAUUAAGUGAUCCACCUGGGGAGUACGGUCGCAAGAUUGAAACUCAAAGGAAUUGACGGGGGCCCGCACAAGCGGUGGAACAUGUGGUUUAAUUCGAUGAUACGCGAGGAACCUUACCUGGGCUUAAAUGUAGACUGCAUUUCCGGGAAACCGGAAUUUCCUUCGGGACCGUCUACAAGGUGCUGCAUGGUUGUCGUCAGCUCGUGCCGUGAGGUGUCGGGUUAAGUCCCAUAACGAGCGCAACCCCUAUCGUUAGUUGCCAGCGAGUAAUGUCGGGGACUCUAGCGAAACUGCCGGUGUAAACCGAGAGGAAGGUGGGGAUGACGUCAAAUCAGCACGGCCCUUAUGUCCAGGGCUACACACGUGUUACGAUGGUCAGUACAAAGGGCAGCUACCUGGUGACAGGAUGCUAAUCUCGAAAACUGGUCUCAGUUCGGAUUGGAGUCUGCAAUUCGACUCCAUGAAGCUGGAAUCGCUAGUAAUCGCGCAUCAGCAACGGCGCGGUGAUACGUUCCCGGGCCUCGUACACACCGCCCGUCAAGCCAUGGAAGCUGGGGGUGCCUGAAGUCCGUAACCGAAAGGAUCGGC